CGUUGCCUGUCCGCCAUCUUUACUGGGGGCAGCUUCCGGCGUGAGGCGGUCCACAGGUUGAAGGCGUGGUGUCUCCGGGUUAGUUCACCCGCGGCAGGGAAACGGAAAGAGACAUCGGUCCUCGGGGACACUGCUCUGGUGGAGUCUCCUGCUGAGCCAUCUGGGAAGCCCAACAAAGGAAGAGAACAUGGGAUUUGAUGUUGGACAGACCCAAGUUCAAACCCUAUCUCUUGCACUUGGCAACUGGAUACUGCCCAAGAAGACAGAAUGCAGAAGAGCCCAUCUCCCCUGAGUUCUCUAAGCCCUUGUCCCUGAGUUGCUCUCUUGAGCCCAAGGCAGGGAGCCUAGAAGCUCCCAUCCAGGGAUGGACAUGGCGUGCUGGAGAUGUGGAUGGUGUACCGUGGGACCUCCCUUUCUGUAAGAAAAAAGGGAAUCAAGUUGACCAAUGUAGGUAACAUAACUUAGUAAUGAGAGGUUCUAAUAUGAAGGUUCUUUUCAAGGGUGUGUUAGGAAUGUAAUGACAAAGGAAAAAGAACUCCAAGAAUGCCACGGAUUGAAAAGAAUAAUAAUCAUAAACUGCUGGUGGGAGUAUAAACUGUCAUAAUCUUUCUGGGAGGUACUGUCAAUAAGUAUCAAACACUUUAAAAAGUAUGUUUCUUUUACUCAGAAUUUCCACUUUGAGAAACUAUCCCAAAGAAAUAGUUAACAAUCUGUGUGAUGAUAUAUACAAGAUGUUUAAAUCACUAUCCUUUACCAUAUCAGAAAGUUACAACUAACCCAAAUUUGUGCAGUAAUAAUGGAUUUGUUAUUUUCUAAUAUGUUCAAAUGGGGCCUCCAAAGAAAUACUGUGUAGCCACAAAACAUGAUGCUUUCAACCUUCUUUAUGCUUCAGACCCACCUGAAGAGAACUAAAGAAAUAUAAAAACAUGA